rnacentral:rRNA from 1 species
CCUACGGGAGGCAGCAGUGAGGAAUAUUGGUCAAUGGACGAGAGUCUGAACCAGCCAAGUAGCGUGAGGGAUGACUGCCCUAUGGGUUGUAAACUUCUUUUAUAUGGGAAUAAAAUGUUCCACGUGUGGGAUUUUGUAUGUACCAUAUGAAUAAGGAUCGGCUAACUCCGUGCCAGCAGCCGCGGUAAUACGGAGGAUCCGAGCGUUAUCCGGAUUUAUUGGGUUUAAAGGGAGCGUAGGUGGGUUGUUAAGUCAGUUGUGAAAGUUUGGGGCUCAACCGUAAAAUUGCAGUUGAAACUGGCAGUCUUGAGUACAGGAGAGGUAGGCGGAAUGCGUGGUGUAGCGGUGAAAUGCUUAGAUAUCACGAAGAACUCCGAUUGCGAAGGCAGUUCACUGGCCUGCAACUGACACUGAGGCUCGAAAGUGUGGGUAUCAAACAGGAUUAGAUACCCUGGUAGUC